GAUGAACGCUGGCGGCGUGCCUAAUACAUGCAAGUCGAGCGAACAGACGAGGAGCUUGCUCCUUUGACGUUAGCGGCGGACGGGUGAGUAACACGUAGGUAACCUACCUAUAAGACUGGGAUAACUUCGGGAAACCGGAGCUAAUACCGGAUAAUAUUUCGAACCGCAUGGUUCGAUAGUGAAAGAUGGCUUUGCUAUCACUUAUAGAUGGACCUGCGCCGUAUUAGCUAGUUGGUAAGGUAACGGCUUACCAAGGCAACGAUACGUAGCCGGCCUGAGAGGGUGAUCGGCCACACUGGAACUGAGACACGGUCCAGACUCCUACGGGAGGCAGCAGUAGGGAAUCUUCCGCAAUGGGCGAAAGCCUGACGGAGCAACGCCGCGUGAGUGAUGAAGGUCUUCGGAUCGUAAAACUCUGUUAUUAGGGAAGAACAAACGUGUAAGUAACUGUGCACGUCUUGACGGUACCUAAUCAGAAAGCCACGGCUAACUACGUG
rnacentral:rRNA from 1 species